AAUCAGACGUUGUUCGGUUCCUACAUUGGUUACGGUAGAGACUACAUUCCUGACCGAGAAGGAAAACAUUUGAUGUCAUACGAGGAGUGGCCAUGGACUAGAUAUCCUCGUUUUUUUAAUGGGCCGGGUGUGGUCAUUUCCGGGAAUUCAAUUCUUUCGUUAUUGGCUGCUAUGCAAACGACGCCUAUAAUGACGUCUGAUGACGUUUAUUACACCGGUAUUUGUACAGAAAAAACGAACAUCACUCUUCAUUUUUCUUCCAAAUCAACCAGCGUCUUCUCGAUGGAAUGCCCCGACUUAUCCCGACCCUGCAAUCUCCGUCUUUUUGUUUCAUGGCUGACUUCUUCGGGCAGUUUAAUGAAUCAGUCUCACGUGGCUAUUGAAGACUUUUAUCAAAAUAAAACCCAAUGCGUCGUCAGCAGCACCGGAUCAAACGGUACCAAUACGACAAUCAACCCAAAUGAACCCGUUCAUUUUGACUUUGAUCCGUAUUUUCACCCAUCCGUUUAGCCAGCGCAAUCAAGUGAUAUAUAGGAAAAUACAUUGUUGGUUAACAGAUAUUCAACAGGUAUCUCA